rnacentral:rRNA from 1 species
AGUCGAACGGCAGCGCGGGGCAACCUGGCGGCGAGUGGCGAACGGGUGAGUAAUAUAUCGGAACAUACCCUAGAGUGGGGGAUAACGUAGCGAAAGUUACGCUAAUACCGCAUACGCACUAAGGUGGAAAGUGGGGGAUCGCAAGACCUCAUGCUCAUGGAGUGGCCGAUAUCUGAUUAGCUAGUUGGUGAGGUAAAGGCUCACCAAGGCGACGAUCAGUAGCUGGUCUGAGAGGACGACCAGCCACACUGGAACUGAGACACGGUCCAGACUCCUACGGGAGGCAGCAGUGGGGAAUUUUGGACAAUGGGGGCAACCCUGAUCCAGCAAUGCCGCGUGAGUGAAGAAGGCCUUCGGGUUGUAAAGCUCUUUUGUCAGGGAAGAAACGGUGGUCUCUAAUAUAGACUGCUAAUGACGGUACCUGAAGAAUAAGCACCGGCUAACUACGUGCCAGCAGCCGCGGUAAUACGUAGGGUGCAAGCGUUAAUCGGAAUUACUGGGCGUAAAGCGUGCGCAGGCGGUUAUAUAAGUCAGAUGUGAAAUCCCCGGGCUCAACCUGGGAACUGCAUUUGAGACUGUAUGGCUAGAGUGUGUCAGAGGGGGGUAGAAUUCCACGUGUAGCAGUGAAAUGCGUAGAUAUGUGGAGGAAUACCGAUGGCGAAGGCAGCCCCCUGGGAUAACACUGACGCUCAUGCACGAAAGCGUGGGGAGCAAACAGGAUUAGAUACCCUGGUAGUCCACGCCCUAAACGAUGUCUACUAGUUGUCGGGUCUUAAUUGACUUGGUAACGCAGCUAACGCGUG